rnacentral:rRNA from 1 species
AUGGCCUCCUUAGCUUCCACCUCCCUCUCCCCAGCAGCCCUCCCAGCCACCACUCCACCUCCACCCCCCGCUCCCUGCCCCCCUCCCGAUCCAGAUCCAGAUCCCUCGCUUGCUGCCGCCGUUGGAGGGCUGGAGGCUCCCAUCCCUUGCUCCCUGGGGUGCUCUGAGCUCCUGCUGCCACCUCCUCCACCUCGCCUUCCCGCGAACUCUAUGCCGAAGCUGGUCGCCGAGGCACUUGUGGCGUCUUCCGAGCAGCCUUGGGUGGAGGUUGGGGGACAUCGUCGUUCGUGGAUGGAGAAGGCGCCUGCUCCAUCUCCUAGGAAAGGGGUCGGUCUCUCCCUCGCCUUCAAGAGGAGAACGUAUGGCCGCUGCUUCCGCUGCCUCGCGUCAGAGCACUUCGUGGCUGACUGCCGCGACCCUAUAAGGUGCUUGGGUUGUGGCAUCUCUGGCCACCGCGAGCGGGAGUGCCCGACGCACCUUCCGGCCAGACAAGCUUCAACCCGCCACUCCCCCUCGCCUGCGGCCUCUCCAUAG